rnacentral:rRNA from 1 species
CGGAGGGUGCAAGCGUUAUCCGGAUUCACUGGGUUUAAAGGGUGCGUAGGUGGCUUUGUAAGUCAGUGGUGAAAUGCCGGAGCUCAACUCCGGAACUGCCAUUGAUACUGCUUAGCUUGAAUCAAGUCGAGGUGGAUGGAAUAUUACAUGUAGCGGUGAAAUGCUUAGAUAUGUAAUAGAACACCGAUUGCGAAGGCAGUUCACUAGGCUUGUAUUGACACUGAGGCACGAAAGCGUGGGGAUCAAACAGGAUUAGAUACCCUGGUAGUCCACGCCCUAAACGAUGUAAACUCGACAUCAGCGAUAUACUGUUGGUGUCCAAGCGAAAGCGUUAAGUUUACCACCUGGGAAGUACGACCGCAAGGUUG